rnacentral:rRNA from 1 species
AAGGUUAAAACUCAAAUGAAUUGACGGGGGCCCGCACAAGCGGUGGAGCAUGUGGUUUAAUUCGAUGCAACGCGAAUAACCUUACCUACUCUUGACAUCCAGAGAACUUUCCAGAGAUGGAUUGGUGCCUUCGGGAACUCUGAGACAGGUGCUGCAUGGCUGUCGUCAGCUCGUGUUGUGAAAUGUUGGGUUAAGUCCCGCAACGAGCGCAACCCUUAUCCUUUGUUGCCAGCGGUUCGGCCGGGAACUCAAAGGAGACUGCCAGUGAUAAACUGGAGGAAGGUGGGGAUGACGUCAAGUCAUCAUGGCCCUUACGAGUAGGGCUACACACGUGCUACAAUGGCAUAUACAAAGAGAAGCGACCUCGCGAGAGCAAGCGGACCUCAUAAAGUAUGUCGUAAUCCGGAUUGGAGUCUGC